AGUAGCAUAAUUAAUUGUCAUUUAAUUGGUGGAGAGAAUGAAUGGUUAAACGAACGCUUCAUUGUCUUAGAAGAGAGUUUUUGAAAUUAGAAAAAUAGUGAAGAUCCUAUUUUUUACCGUUAGACGAAAAGACCCUAUAGAGCUUAACUAUAAUUCAUAAUAUAAUAAAAAUUAUGGGUGGGUAGUUUAGUUGGGGCGACUAUCUUUUAUAAAUAACAAAGAUAAGCAUGAUAAUAUAAUUUAAUUACUGUAUAAUUAAUAUAUUUAACAGUUACUAAAGUAGGCUAUAAUGACCCAUUAGGCAGUAGAAAUUCACCUAAUGAUUAAUAAAUAAAAGCUACCUUNGGGAUAACAGGAUAAUUUUGUUUUAGAGAUCAANUCAANUNCAANNUUUGUCACCUCUAUGUUGAAUUAAGAUAACCAAACAAUGCAGAAGU
rnacentral:rRNA from 1 species